rnacentral:rRNA from 1 species
AUUGAACGCUGGCGGCAGGCCUAACACAUGCAAGUCGAGCGAGCGGCGGACGGGUGAGUAAUGUCUGGGAAACUGCCUGAUGGAGGGGGCUAACUACUGGAAACGGUAGCUAAUACCGCAUACCAUCAGAUGUGCCCAGCUGGGAUGAGCUAGUAGGUGGGGUAACUGCUCACCUAGUCGACGAUCCCUAGCUGGUCUGUGAUGAUGAACAUCCACCCUGGAACUGAGACACGGUCCAGACUCCUACGUGAGGCAGCAGUGGGGAAUAUUGCACAAUGGGCGCACGCCGGAUGCAGCCAUGCCGCGUGUAUGAAGAAGGCCUUCGGGUUGUAAAGUACUUUCAGCGGGGAGGCGUUACCCGCAGAAGAAGCACCGGCUAACUCCGUGCCAGCAGCCGCGGUAAUUC